UACGAAGGACCCAAGCGUUAUCCGGAUUUAUUGGGUUUAAAGGGUGCGUAGGCGGCCUAUUAAGUCAGUGCUGAAAUAUCCCGGCUUAACCGGGAGGGUGGCAUUGAUACUGAUGGGCUUGAGUAAAGUUGAGGUAGGCGGAAUUGACGGUGUAGCGGUGAAAUGCUUAGAUAUCGUCAAGAACACCUAUUGCGAAGGCAGCUUACUAGCUUAACUGACGCUGAUGCACGAAAAGUGUGGGGGAUCAAAACAGG
rnacentral:rRNA from 1 species